GAGACCACGGAAUUCCAAAUGGUGCUGACCACUCAACGUUUCAUUGUCUAAAUCCAUUCUCCUCGGCGACAGCCAAGAAAUUGCCAGUGAGGAACACAUUCUACCUGACACUAAAGAGGCCCGAGUCAGUGCCAGAUCCUUAAACUGCAAAGCAUGGUUGACUCUUGGUCACGGGCUGUUCCGUCUGUUCCUCCAACAGUUAAUUCUCAUUCUCCUUCACCCACCUGCACGGCAAUAGCUUUGCCCCUAACUAUGGAUCAGAAGAGGAUCAUUCAAGCCUGAGAAACCUCCUUGGUCCGAGGGCUGUUGAAAGAUAUUCACAGCCAAGGAUCCCGGACCUAAACAAAUCAGAGUCUCCAUGGCUAUAAUUUGGAGGCUGAGAACUGUCACUUUCACAUUUCUUUGAGCCAGUUGUCCAAGGAAACUCAAAGGGCACUUCUCGGAAAAACGGUAUGACUCCCUUAUUUCUUUAUAGAAAGGUCUCAAGAGCCAAAUGUGUGAACUGAGCCCUUGGUCUGACUAGGAUCUCCACCAGGAGUACCCAUGGAAGGGCACCAAGUGGUGGUCUGCGUACUCAUAGGACUUGCAUAUAAACAGAUACAGAGGCAAUAUUCAUAUGAAAGCGCCAAUGUAGAGAAUCUCCUUCCAUAAUCACGUCUUCACAGGUUUAUCGUCUUCGAUUCUCAGAUCCAUAGUUCAGCCUGUUCCCAACAAGAGGAGCAAAAUGUCUCUUGACCCUCCAUCACACCAUGGAACCAACUCGCUGAGUUACUAAGUGAUGAUUCCAGUCUAACUUCAUGCUCACUGACUGGCUCCACCCACCCUUACCUGAUCCAUUCGGGCUCUGCUAUCCACAUAAUGCUUUGCUAGAACUCGAGAGCUCUGCCGAGAUAUUUUAUGCCACUUCACGUUGUGUGGCCGAGUCCUUUUGCCCCUUCCCCACAGCGUGACUUCAUAGCUGAGUUGACACCUCUCUAGAGAAGGAGUUUUGGAGGAAUUUCCUUGACAACUUAGGCCGCAAAGUUAAAUACCAACCACAAUUCUCGGACCCUGGCAACUGCUACAAUGGGGUCCUGUGGGAUUUCAUAUGUAGAAUCCAGAAUCUCAAUGGAUCGGUCAAUGCUCCCAGAAGACAAGUUUCACAAUGGACAGAUUUUCUCAGCAACACCAAGACUCCAAGGAUGCAGACAAGGGAAAUUGCCCAAUCCAGAGAGGGAGGUGUACAGAAGAGAGUUGACACAGCAGGCCUGAGACAGCUCUCCUGAGAAGGGCCAGCUCGCGAGGCCGACCACCGGCUGCCGUUUGGGAACUUGGAGUUUGGGAGAAUGCCUCCCAUUCCCUGAUUGGGCACAGUGAGCCAUUCUUAACUGUUUGUGCAAACACUGCGGUGUAUCCUGAACACAUGUUUUUCUUUGGGAAGUCUGGAAUUUGGGUAUGUGCUAAGCAGAAGGUAGCUAUGUGAGCAGACCCCAAUAAAAAUCCUAGGCACUGAGUCUCUAAAGAGCUUCCCUGGUGGAACUCAUCUCACCCUUGUUGUCACAACUUAUUGACAGGGGAAUUAGGCCCAUCCUGCCUGACUCCACUGCGAGAGGACGUUCGGAAGCUUGUACCUCGUUUCCUCCAGACUUUGACCUAUGCGCCUUUUCUCUUUGCCGAUUAUGCUCUGUAUCCUUUUGUUGUUGUAAAUAGCCACGAGUACAACUAUAUGCAGAGUCACAUGAGCAUCCUAGUAAGUCACUGCAACCGGGUGUGGUCCUGGGGACUCCCAACAGAAAGGUACCUGAUUUUGACCCAGAAAAAGGGGAAUGUUUCAAUCUUCAAGGACCACAUGAGUUUGGACAAGUGUAUAUGAUGUGAAGACACCAGUGUCCAUUUCCAAAAUGAAGUGAGAUUUGCUACUAUUACUUUUUUUAAGGGCAAGCAUGUUUCCCCCAUACUCCCUUCGUCCAAGAUGCUUGCCAGCACAUCCUUGCCAACGCUGGAUUUGACCACAACGACAGUAAUGUGUCUCAAGUUUUCCUUAUGUGAAAACAUGCAUUUCCCUAUUUACCAGUGUUGGCUGUCCAUUUGCACUCUUUUGAAAAUCCCUUGUCCGUAUCAUUUGCACAUUUCUCUUCUCUCAUGCUCUUAAUACCAUUAGGAUGCCCCAAAAUGUACAAUUUGCCCCUCCUUUAUGCUCAUUGUGUAGAAGGUGAGGUGCUUAACCAGCACUGAAGGCUACCAGGUUAUUUAAUACAACAUUCUUGUAGACAAACACUAGUUCUCUGCCCGUCAUUAGCUGCUCUGACCUUAGAGGUUCAACUUGUUGCAAAAAUUCUUUAGUGAUGGACUGGCUUGGAAACAUGUGAUGAGGGGCAAAUAAGUGUAUCCCAACUCUCCAAAUUUGAGAGUAAGAAUUCUAAGUCACUGUUAGUCAGAAUUGCCCCUAGCAUGACAUUACCACUAGUUAUAUGCAUUAAGUACAUGUACAAUUGUCUUCUUAGGGUUUCCCUCUGACAGGGAAGCUCAAAGCUUUUACGUUGAAAUGUGUUGGUGUUAUUUACAUUUACUAUAACAUUAUUUACAGUAUUUUUAUUGCAGUAUAGAAGUCAAUUCAUAACUGACUUGGUCUUUUGCACCAUUGUUUACUGCAUACCCACUGAGUAGCUCAUUAAGUGUUAAUUAACUAGGGAGUGACAUAGGGGAAAGAUCAAGGCAUGGAAGUCUUAUGAAUUGGCUAAGGUCAAAGUUACCAAUUGGGUUACAUUAUCUAGGAGAUAAAACCUUUAGAAAAAAGCUCAAAUAGAGGGCAACAUUUUGCUCUGGUUUUUCUGCCUAGGGUGGCAUACUGAAUGACAGUCCUGCCUAUUGCAAUGGUCACACUCAAAGAUCUAGUGUAGAUCUUCAAGUUCACCCAGUUUUCAAGUGAAUUGUGUUGGGUUUGAGGCCAAAGACCCCAAGUGCUUUAGAAUCUGAGUCUUUCCUUCUUUCUCACACCACCUCAGAUCAUGAGGUCAGUUGACCGUCCCAUUAGCCAGAGUCAUGCCAAAGAAUUUCACCAUUCCCAGAUGGCACCUCGUAGCAUCAAUCCCCAGAGAGUGGGCAAGACAGGCAAAUGCCCAUCUAGUGGGCAGUUCAGUUCCAGACCUGGGCUAGACAGCACAACCUCAAGACUGUAAAUGGCUGAGCAGAAACUAAGAUCCACACCUUUAUCAUCCAUCGUAAUUCCCUUUAUAUGAGGCUGGAGACCAAUCGCAUCGAGUGGUCAUCAAGCCUAGGGCUGAAGACUGACACCAAUGCAAGUGAAGCAGGCAUGACUUUGGGAAACCUUGAGCAAAUCGCUGGCUAGUGUCUGAGUCUUUGAGUGGCAUUGUUUUGCUUUGUGAGUUCUUUGUACAGUUUUGAUACCAGUCCUUUAUCAGACAUAAUUGGCAAGUGUUCUCCCCCAGAACGUGGCUUUUCAUUCUUGUUGUCUUUCAAAGAACAGUUCUUAAUUUUGAUGACGUGCAAUCUUGUUUUAUGAAUUACGUGUCUGAUCACUUACCUAAGAAAUCUUUACCUCACAUGUGGUGAUGGAUUGUAAUUAGUCUUUGGGUGGUGAACAUGAUGUAACCUAUACAGGAAAUGAAAUAUGAUGUACACCUGAAAUUUAUAUAAUGUUAUAAACCAACGUUACUGCAAUAAAAAAAGUCUU
ensembl:lncRNA